GCGCUCGUGGUGGAACUCAGGUAGACACGCACGGCUCAGACCCGUGUGCCGAAGGCGUGGGGGUUCGACUCCCCCCGAGCGCA
rnacentral:tRNA from 1 species